AUUGAACGCUGGCGGCAUGCCUUACACAUGCAAGUCGAACGGUAACAGGUCUUCGGAUGCUGACGAGUGGCGAACGGGUGAGUAAUACAUCGGAACGUGCCUAGUAGUGGGGGAUAACUACUCGAAAGAGUGGCUAAUACCGCAUGAGAUCUACGGAUGAAAGCAGGGGAUCGCAAGACCUUGUGCUACCAGAGCGGCCGAUGGAAGAUGAGGUAGUUGGUGGGAUAAAAGCUUACCAAGCCGACGAUCUGUAGCUGGUCUGAGAGGACGAGCAGCCACACUGGGACUGAGACACGGCCCAGACUCCUACGGGAGGCAGCAGUGGGGAAUUUUGGACAAUGAGCGCAAGCCUGAUCCAGCAAUGCCGCGUGCAGGAUGAAGGCCUUCGGGUUGUAAACUGCUUUUGUACGGAACGAAAAGCCCUGGGUUAAUACCCUGGGGUCAUGACGGUACCGUAAGAAUAAGCACCGGCUAACUACGUGCCAGCAGCCGCGGUAACAC
rnacentral:rRNA from 1 species